UACAGAGACCUCAAGCGUUAUCCGGAAUCAUUGGGCGUAAAGCGUACCGAUAUGUGGUUUUGAAAGUUUUGGGUAAAAGCCAGAAGCUCAACUUCUGAGUUUGCUCAAAAUACUGCAAAACUAGAGGGGCAAAGAGGAGACUGGAACGAACGGUGUAGUAGUGAAAUGCGUUGAUAUCGUUCGGAACACCGAAAGCGAAGGCAGGUCUCUGGGUGCCACCUGGCACUGCUAGGACGAAAGCGUGGGGAGCGAAUGGG
rnacentral:rRNA from 1 species